rnacentral:rRNA from 1 species
AUUGAACGCUGGCGGCAGGCCUAACACAUGCAAGUCGAACGGUAACAGGAAGAAGCUUGCUUCUUUGCUUACGAGUGGCGGACGGGUGAGUAAUGUCUGGGAAACUGCCUGAUGGAGGGGGAUAACUACUGGAAACGGUAUCUAAUACCGCAUAAUGUCGCAAGACCAAAGAGGGGGACCUUCGGGCCUCUUGCCAUCGGAUGUGCCCAGAUGGGAUUUGCUAGUAGGUGGGGUAACGGCUCACCUAGGCGACGAUCCCUAGCUGGUCUGAGAGGAUGACCAGCCACACUGGAACUGAGACACGGUCCAGACUCCUACGGGAGGCAGCAGUGGGGAAUAUUGCACAAUGGGCGCAAGCCUGAUGCAGCUAUGCCGCGUGUAUGAAGAAGGCCUUCGGGUUGUAAAGUACUUUCAGCGGGGAGGAAGGGAGUAAAGUUAAUACCUUUGCUCAUUGACGUUACCCGCAGAAGAAGCACCGGCUAACUCCGUG